GCGCCUGUAGCUCAUCGGACAGAGCGUGCGGCUCCGGACCGCAAGGCAGGGGGUUCGAUUCCCUCCAGGCGCACCA
rnacentral:tRNA from 2 species